UCUGGCGUCCUUCGGGCGUCCGAGUUGUAAUCUAUAGAAGUGUUUUCCGUGCCGGACCAUGUCCAAGUCCCUUGGAACAGGGUAUCAAAGAGGGUGACAAUCCCGUACUUGACAUGACCACCGGUGCUCUGUGAUACACUUUCUACGAGUCGAGUUGUUUGGGAAUGCAGCUCAAAAUGGGUGGUAAAUUCCAUCUAAAGCUAAAUAUUGGCGAGAGACCGAUAGCGAACAAGUACCGUGAGGGAAAGAUGAAAAGCACUUUGGAAAGAGAGUUAAACAGUACGUGAAAUUGUUGAAAGGGAAACGAUUGAAGUCAGUCGUGUUCUUUGGACUCAGCCGGUUCUUCCGGUCUAUUUCCUUUGAACGGGUCAACAUCAGUUUUGUCCGGUGGAUAAAGGCAGGAAGAAAGUGGCUCCCUCGGGAGUGUUAUAGCUUUCUGUCACAUACACUGGAGGAGACUGAGGACUGCAGCUCGCCUUUUGGCCGGGGUUCGCCCACGUUCGAGCUUAGGAUGUUGACAUAAUGGCUUUAAACG
rnacentral:rRNA from 1 species